GCACCUCGCCCAAAGGACCCCAGUCAGAGGCCCCAUCUCAGACCCGAGCCUAGCAUGGGCUGCAGGCUGCUCUGCUGUGCGGUUCUCUGUCUCCUGGGAGCGGUUCCCAUGGAAACGGGAGUUACGCAGACACCAAGACACCUGGUCAUGGGAAUGACAAACAAGAAGUCUUUGAAAUGUGAACAAGAUCUGGGGCAUAAUGCUAUGUAUUGGUACAAACAAAGUGCUGAGAAGCCACUGCAGCUCAUGUUUGUCUACAAUCUUAAAGAACAGAUUGAAAACAACAGUGUGCCAAGUCGCUUCUCACCUGAAUGCCCCAAUAGCUCUCACUUAUUCCUUCACCUACACGCCCUGCAGCCAGAAGACUCAGCCCUGUAUCUCUGUGCCAGCAGCCAAGACACAGCCUUGCAGAGUCACCGCUUUCCUGUGCAGAAAGCUUUGGGGCCCUCCAGGAAGCCGUGGGGGCCACCAAAGCCUUGGGUGAACAUUUCCUGCAAGAGCCCCGACAGAAGCUUCAGAACAUCAUAGCACCUGCUAAUUCAUCCAUGUGGCAACUUUACAUCCUAUGCUCAUAUUUAGAGUGUGGGUUUUCUUUAGCGUGUGAC